GUUAUCGAGAAAGGUGGAGAGAUUAGACUCUAUGAAACCUUGGCAACCCUUCGGAAACGAAGAAGGUGCUAAAUUCUAUCUGCAAUGGCGGAAAAGAUAA
rnacentral:ncRNA from 1 species